GGUGGCUCAGUGGUAGAGUGCUUGCCUUGAAGCAUGAGGUCCUGGGUUCGAUUCCUCAGCACCA
rnacentral:tRNA from 1 species